rnacentral:tRNA from 1 species
UGUGUUGUAGCUCAGUAGGUAGAAUGCUUGUCUAGCACACAAUAAGCUCUGGGUUUGAUUCUCAGUACCACAU